ACUAGACUCUCUCAAGCCGGAGAGAGAGAACACCACAUCCACAGAGCGAGAAUGAGAACAUCGCGUGCAGGUUUCAUAAAGUAAACCUUGCAUUUCCUCUCACGUCCGUGCAUGAACACUGUAAGCAUGCCUUUCAAGAGUGGAAUUCCCCAUCUUGGAAAUUAAACUGCCCGUUCCAAUCCCUGGAUGGCUGAGACGUAACAUUCGAUGGCUGAAUACUUAAGGACUGCGAGUUUUGAACGGAAAACGCUUCACUGAAGAGAUGCACGGAAGAGUUUGGCUUCUGACUAGAUGCGUCUGCGCCGCUCCGAGAUUUCAGCGUCAUGUUCUUUAACGCAAGACGCACGGGAACCUCUAUUUGUCCCCGACACACGGCCACUCAUAGCUUACUUUCUGACACAGAGGAAUAUGUACGUCAGUUGUUUAAAGUCAACUUUGUGAGAUGUUCCACAUUUAAAAAGUGUUGACUGGAGGUAGUUGCUGUCUUUGGUUAUCUAGCUGUAUGAGUGUUUAUCUUCCUUCAUAAAGCUAGAUAACCGAAAGUAGAAACGUCCUCCUUAACUGCAUGUGGACAAGUUGAAUGGGAAGCAAUGAUUGCAGGGAAACUGCAUGAGCCUCUCCAACUGCAGUGUCUUUGUGAGAGACCAGAGGACUGAAGCUAAGGGAAAAAACACCAUCUGCCAUUUACACUGCCUUUUCGGAGCAAGGGAGAGAGAGAGAGGGAAAAAAAAUGGUGCAAUUGUCCAAAUGAAAGAAAAGAAAAAUAAUAGUCAACCCUCAUCCUUCUUCAACCAGCUCCCCUCCCUUCUUCUUCAACGGAAGCAUUUAGUGCCAUCUGUGCCCCCGGAGAAAAGAGGGGAAAAAGAAAGGAGCGAGAGCCUACAUCCCAAGUGCCAACGGGGACAAAGAGGCUGCCAGUUGCCACGGACCACCAGAUGCUGGAAGACUGCAAGUCUGAAUGAGGGGUGUGCUUUCAGGAAGCCAUCUUGAUGGAGAAACUGGCUGCUGCUUCCUAAAAUGGCUGUGUUGGCAUGAGGUUCCUGAGAAACCGAGGCCAUCCAGCUAUAUUGACUCAAAUGGUCAAUCACAUCACCUCAGGAAUCCAGCGUCCAGCAUCUCUUUCAGAUGGGUCGCUGUGAAGAUUAAAUAAAUCAGACUUGAGGGAUGGAUUUCAAAAUGUGCACUAAUUGAUUUCACUGGGUGUCUUAAAUCCAUUCAGUCUUCAAACAUUCACUAAUUCCGGAUGAGUAUGUGGAUGAAAACACAUUUGGGCUGUUCACUCUGAGAUUUUGAAAAAUGUGUUGGACAAUCUUAUGUUUUGUACUCACUGAAGAGAAAAUGUGCCUUAAUGUGUCAAAUGUUUACAAUGGCAUUAUUGAAACAAAUGUCGAUAUAUAUGUGAUCUGCACUUCUUACAUAAAAUGAGCUUUCAUGCAUGAACCUCGUUUAUUUGAGAGUGUGCAUAAGCCAAAAUCCACGCCACCGUUCAUAUUUAUAUCUUCGACGUGAAAAAGUGGUUAGCAGCACGUCAGGGUCUAAGCAGACGUACGCACUUUCCCUUGUGGCAGAGAGGCGGAGUACUGCAGUUAUUUAGGAAUCUGAGCCGCUCGCCGUUCUCAACGUUUACUGGAGCUCUUUUAUAUGUUAAUGACAUUAAACGCCAUUAGUAUGCGUUUACAAGGCGGAGAUCUGAAACCAUUCAGCUGCACACAAUUUCAAGAUCAUUUGUGAUUUAGAAAUUUCACAUCUGGACAGACAGACAGGAAACGCACGUUUUUUGUGCGCAUGUUCGUUCUCUGAAUCACGUAUGCAUACGCAUGUACACACACUUGAGAAAUGAUCAAGGACGGUUUUAUACGCAACACUUUACAAAAAAAAAAUGCCCUAGCCUAUAUUUACAAAAUGUACCCGUUUUAUUUAAUUUACAGAAAAUUGUUUAACAUGCAUGGCUAUUUAUGGUGUUAUAUCAUGUAGCUGAUUUGUUUGAUUGUGUGUGAUGUAUUGGAUGUAUGAACAAAAUGAGAAAACUGUAGCCUACUAACAAACAUGCAUUAAAUACUCUGAAUGGUUGUUGACAUUGAAAACCCAUUUCGGUAUGGAAAUGAACUUUAAAACCCUUCUCAUGUAGUGGCCACAGGCUGUUUUGUAUUUUGUGAGUUCUGGCACUCCUGUCAGCACCUUGGACAGCACAUAAUAAAGUGUGGAAAAUAACGA